rnacentral:rRNA from 1 species
UGGGGAAUAUUGCGCAAUGGGCGAAAGCUUGACGCAGCAACGCCGCGUGAGUGAAGAAGGUCUUCGGAUUGUAAAACUCUGUCGGAAGGGACAAAUAUUUAUUGGUCUAAUACAUCAGUAGAUUGAUGGUACCUUUAGAGGAAGCACCGGCUAACUCCGUGCCAGCAGCCGCGGUAAUACGGAGGGUGCAAGCGUUGUUCGGAAUUACUGGGCGUAAAGCGCGUGUAGGCGGUCGAAGAAGUCGGGUGUGAAAGCCCUUCGCUUAACGAGGGAAAUGCGCCCGAAACCAUUCGACUAGAGUGCAAGAGGGGCUCGUGGAAUUCCUGGUGUAGCAGUGAAAUGCGUAGAUACCAGGAGGAACACCGGUGGCGAAAGCGACGAGCUAGAUUGCAACUGACGCUGAGACGCGAAAGCGUGGGGAGCAAACAGG